GACGAACGCUGGCGGCGUGCCUAACACAUGCAAGUCGAACGGAGAAGCGGAAGUAGUUUACUAUUACCGCACCUUAGUGGCGGACGGGUGAGUAACACGUGGGCAACCUGCCUUAAAGAGGGGGAUAACACCGAGAAAUCGGUGCUAAUACCGCAUAACAUUAGUAAGUCGCAUGACUUACUAAUCAAAGGAGCAAUCCGCUUUAAGAUGGGCCCGCGUCUGAUUAGCUAGUUGGUGGGGUAGAAGCCUACCAAGGCGACGAUCAGUAGCCGAUCUGAGAGGAUGAACGGCCACACUGGAACUGAGACACGGUCCAGACUCCUACGGGAGGCAGCAGUGGGGAAUAUUGCACAAUGGAGGGAACUCUGAUGCAGCAACGCCGCGUGGAGGACGAAGGUUUUCGGAUUGUAAACUCCUGUCUUUUGGGACGAUAAUGACGGUACCAAAAGAGGAAGCCACGGCUAACUACGUGCCAGCAGCCGCGGUAAUACGUAGGUGGCGAGCGUUGUCCGGAAUUACUGGGCGUAAAGGGCGCGUAGGCGGCCUGUUAAGUCAGAUGUGAAACCCCCAGGCUCAACUUGGGGAUUGCAUAUGAAACUGAUGGGCUCGAGUGUCGGAGAGGAAAGCGGAAUUCCUAGUGUAGCGGUGAAAUGCGUAGAUAUUAGGAGGAACACCAGUGGCGAAGGCGGCUUUCUGGACGAUAACUGACGCUGAGGCGCGAAAGCGUGGGGAGCAAACAGGAUUAGAUACCCUGGUAGUCCACGCUGUAAACUAUGGAUACUAGGUGUGGGAGGUAUCGACCCCUUCCGUGCCGCAGUAAACGCAAUAAGUAUCCCGCCUGGGGAGUACGGCCGCAAGGUUGA
rnacentral:rRNA from 1 species